UACGUAGGGAGCAAGCGUUGUUCGGAUUUACUGGGCGUAAAGGGCGCGUAGGCGGCAGAUCAAGUCAGCUGUGAAAUCUCCGAGCUUAACUCGGAACUGUCAGCUGAUACUGUUUUGCUAGAGUGCGGAAGGGGCAAUCGGAAUUCUUGGUGUAGCGGUGAAAUGCGUAGAUAUCAAGAGGAACACCUGAGGUGAAGACGGGUUGCUGGGCCGACACUGACGCUGAGUGCGCGAAAGCCAGGGAAGCAAACGGG
rnacentral:rRNA from 1 species